CUGGUUUCAACACCAACCGGUUUAGGCUCAGAACUCGAUUUCUGCUUGACUGCACCUGUAGUCAGAGCGCUCUGUUAACUGUGGGGCCACAUUCACUUAUUAGAUGUUGUAACCGGACAAUAUAAACUAAAAACAGUUGCUAUUAUUAUAGUUUUUGAGCAAAUGCUCUUCCUUGCGAGUUAAAUCUUGAUUAGUUAUUAAGUUAUUCCAGCUGAAGUUAUGAAGUCCUUGAACAUUCCCAAGGGAGUAAGACGUAAGAGCAUUGAACACUCAUAGAAUGAAAAUCGAGUAUACAGCCUUAAAAGAGAGCUUGGAAAGUAUGGAGCAUCUAAUUUCUUCAAUUCGUAGACUUCUUCUAUCGCUUGUUAAGGUGAAAGAAUAGGUUCCAGCUGAAGAUACGC